rnacentral:rRNA from 1 species
CUGGGCUCGAAAUGUUAUGGACCGGAGUAGAAAUAUUCCUUCCCCGCAAGGGGCCGUAAUAUAGGUGCUGCAUGGCUGUCGUCAGCUCGUGUCGUGAGAUGUUGGGUUAAGUCCCGCAACGAGCGCAACCCUUAUCUUCAGUUGCUACCAUUUAGUUGAGCACUCUGACGAAACCGCCUCGGAUAACGGGGAGGAAGGUGGGGAUGACGUCAAGUCCUCAUGGCCUUUAUGUCCAGGGCUACACACGUGCUACAAUGGCCGGUACAAACCGUCGCAAACCCGCGAGGGGGAGCUAAUCGGAAAAAGCCGGCCUCAGUUCGGAUUGGAGUCUGCAACUCGACUCCAUGAAGCUGGAAUCGCUAGUAAUCGCGGAUCAGAACGCCGCGGUGAAUACGUUCCC